CCAACGGCUGCGCUUCAGCGUCGGCCCGGAAAUGGCGCCGGAAGUGGAGAGGGCCAAGAGACACCUGGACAGCCUGGCGGCGGAUGUGGAGCUUCACUGCCUGGAGCACCCCGGGCUCGGAGAGGGGGCGGGGCCGAGGGCGGAGAGCCUGGUGCAGGUGGCGCUGCAGGUGGCCUUCUACAGGGCCCACGGCUCUCUCUGUGCCACCUGCGAGCCGCUGUC